AACAUCGGUCCCUCCUCGAGAGGUAUCGGUGCUGUAGGGAAGCCGUAGAGUGUGUUACCUGGGAAGUAUAGUCGCAAGGCCGAAACUUAAAGGAAUAGGCGGCGGGAUACUACAACCAGUGACGCGUGCGGUUCAAUUAGAUUCUACCCCGUGAACCUCACCAGGAUCGACAGCAGAAUGAAGGUCAGUCUGAAGGGCUUACCCGACACGCUGAGAGGAGCUGCAUGGCCGACGUCAGCCUGUGUCGUGAGAUGAUCUGUUAAAUCAGAUAACAGGCGAGACCCGUAUGUAUAUUUGCUUUGUACAAUUUACAGACUGCCUUGGUAACAAGGAGGAAGGUGCGGGCUACGUUAGGUGAGUACAGCCCGAAUACCCUGGGCUACACGCGCGCGGCAAUGGUACAUUCAAAGGGUCGCGACUCCGAGAGGAGAAGCUAAUCUCAUAAACUGUACCUUAGUUCCGAUCGAGGAUUGCAACUCAUCCUCGUGACGCUGGAAUUGGUAGUAAUCGGACUUUAUCAGAAUCCGGUGAAUAUGUCAAUGUCCCGUGCACUCACCGCCCGUCAAACCAACCGAGUUAUGCUCUGGCGAGGCCCUUCGGGGACGAACCUAGGUAUGACAAGGUAGGUUAAGUCGUAACAAGGUAGCC
rnacentral:rRNA from 1 species